rnacentral:rRNA from 1 species
GUCUUAGUGGCGCAGCUAACGCACUAAGUUGACCGCCUGGGGAGUACGGCCGCAAGGUUAAAACUCAAAUGAAUUGACGGGGGCCCGCACAAGCGGUGGAGCAUGUGGUUUAAUUCGACGCAACGCGAAGAACCUUACCUGGCCUUGACAUGCAGAGAACUUUCCAGAGAUGGAUUGGUGCCUUCGGGAACUCUGACACAGGUGCUGCAUGGCCGUCGUCAGCUCGUGUCGUGAGAUGUUGGGUUAAGUCCCGUAACGAGCGCAACCCCUAUCCCUAGUUGCUAGCAGUUCGGCUGAGAACUCUAGGGAGACUGCCGGUGACAAACCGGAGGAAGGUGGGGAUGACGUCAGGUCAUCAUGGCCCUUACGGCCAGGGCUACACACGUGCUACAAUGGUGCGUACAGAGGGCUGCAAACCCGCGAGGGGGAGCUAAUCUCACAAAACGCAUCGUAGUCCGGAUCGGAGUCUGCAACUCGACUCCGUGAAGUCGGAAUCGCUAGUAAUCGCGAAUCAGAAUGUCGCGGUGAAUACGUUCCCGGGCCUUGUACACACCGCCCGUCACACCAUGGGAGUGGAUUGCACCAGAAGUGGUUAGUCUAACCUUCGGGAGGACGAU